UACGUAGGCAGCGAGCGUUGUUCGGAGUUACUGGGCGUAAAGGGUGUGUAGGCGGUUGUUUAAGUUUGGUGUGAAAUCUCCCGGCUUAACUGGGAGGGUGCGCCGAAGACUGGAAGGCUUGAGUAUGGGAGAGGUAAGCGGAAUUCCUGGUGUAGCGGUGAAAUGCGCAGAUAUCGGGAGGAACACCAAUGGCGAAGGCAGCUUGCUGGGACGGUACUGACGCUGAGGCGCGAAAGCGUGGGGAGCAAACAGG
rnacentral:rRNA from 1 species